UAGCAUCAAACCGAAACUUUGACCAAAACAACUUUCUUGUUUACUUGUUAGCCAUUUGAAUUUUGUGAGGUACUUUGAGCUACAAACGCCGACACGAGGUUAACUUCCUAAUGGAUCUUUUUCGGGACAAAAAUGAAGAACGUCGCACCGAACACCUCACCAGACUCAGUGAAGAUAAAUUACAAUUAUGUAAAACUAAAAUGGAAGAGAAGACACGAUUUGGCAAUUUGGUUCGUUUUAUGAACAAGCAAAGGAAAGAGUUUGAAGAUGAACAACAAAUUCAAAUUCGGAAUGAGGAAAUGGCUCUGAA
rnacentral:lncRNA from 1 species